rnacentral:rRNA from 1 species
UAAACAUUGACAGUUAAUUACACCCACUGUCCGCCUGGGAACUACGAGCACCAGCUUAAAACCCAAAGGACUUGGCGGUGCUUUAGACCCACCUAGAGGAGCCUGUUCUAGAACCGAUAAUCCCCGUUAAACCUCACCCUUCCUUGCCAUUUCCGCCUAUAUACCACCGUCGCCAGCUUACCCUGUGAAGGCCCCAUAGUAAGCACAAUCGGCACAGCCCAGAACGUCAGGUCGAGGUGUAGCGAAUGGAAGGGGAAGAAAUGGGCUACAUUUACUAAUACAGUAAAUACGGAUGAUCACCCUGAAACGAGUAUCUGAAGGAGGAUUUAGCAGUAAGCAAAAAAUAGAGUGUUUUGCUGAAGUUGGC